AUUGAACGCUGGCGGCAGGCCUAACACAUGCAAGUCGAACGAGUGGCGGACGGGUGAGUAAUGUCUGGGAAACUGCCUGAUGGAGGGGGAUAACUACUGGAAACGGUAGCUAAUACCGCAUACCAUCAGAUGUGCCCAGAUGGGAUUAGCUUGUUGGUGGGGUAACGGCUCACCAAGGCGACGAUACAUAGCCGACCUGAGAGGGUGAUCGGCCACACGUGGACUGAGACACGGCCCAGACUCCUACGGGAGGCAGCAGGGGGGAAUAUUGGACAAUGGGCGAAAGCCUGAUCCAGCCAUGCCGCGUGUGUGAAGAAGGUCUUCGGAUUGUAAAGCACUUUAAGUUGGGAGGCGUUACCAACAGAAUAAGCACCGGCUAACUUCGUGCCAGCAGCCGCGGUAAUUC
rnacentral:rRNA from 1 species